AGAGACAGCAGUCGCCGCGGUAAUACAGAGGGUGCGAGCGUUAAUCGGAUUUACUGGGCGUAAAGCGUGCGUAGGCGGCUUUUUAAGUCGGAUGUGAAAUCCCUGAGCUUAACUUAGGAAUUGCAUUCGAUACUGGGAAGCUAGAGUAUGGGAGAGGAUGGUAGAAUUCCAGGUGUAGCGGUGAAAUGCGUAGAGAUCUGGAGGAAUACCGAUGGCGAAGGCAGCCAUCUGGCCUUAUACUGACGCUGAGGUACGAAAGCAUGGGGAGCAAACAGGAUUAGAUACCCCGGUAGUCCUGUCUCUUAUACA
rnacentral:rRNA from 1 species